UGGGGAAUUUUGGACAAUGGGCGAAAGCCUGAUCCAGCCAUGCCGCGUGCAGGAUGAAGGCCUUCGGGUUGUAAACUGCUUUUGUACGGAACGAAAAGGUCUUUUUUAAUAAAGAGGGCCCAUGACGGUACCGUAAGAAUAAGCACCGGCUAACUACGUGCCAGCAGCCGCGGUAAUACGUAGGGUGCAAGCGUUAAUCGGAAUUACUGGGCGUAAAGCGUGCGCAGGCGGUUAUAUAAGACAGUUGUGAAAUCCCCGGGCUCAACCUGGGAACUGCAUCUGUGACUGUAUAGCUAGAGUACGGUAGAGGGGGAUGGAAUUCCGCGUGUAGCAGUGAAAUGCGUAGAUAUGCGGAGGAACACCGAUGGCGAAGGCAAUCCCCUGGACCUGUACUGACGCUCAUGCACGAAAGCGUGGGGAGCAAACA
rnacentral:rRNA from 1 species